rnacentral:rRNA from 1 species
AGUCACGCUGUAAACGAUGUCGAUUUGGAGGUUGUUCCCUUGAGGAGUGGCUUCCGGAGCUAACGCGUUAAAUCGACCGCUGGGGAGUACGGCCGCAAGGUUAAAACUCAAAUGAAUUGACGGGGGCCCGCACAAGCGGUGGAGCAUGUGGUUUAAUUCGAUGCAACGCGAAGAACCUUACCUACUCUUGACAUCCAGAGAAUUUAGCAGAGAUGCUUUAGAGCCUUCGGGAACUCUGAGACAGGUGCUGCAUGGCUGUCGUCAGCUCGUGUUGUGAAAUGUUGGGUUAAGUCCCGCAACGAGCGCAACCCUUAUCCUUUGUUGCCAGCACAUUAUGGUGGGAACUCAAAGGAGACUGCCGGUGAUAAACCGGAGGAAGGUGGGGAUGACGUCAAGUCAUCAUGGCCCUUACGAGUAGGGCUACACACGUGCUACAAUGGCGUAUACAAAGAGAAGCGACCUCGCGAGAGCAAGCGGAACUCAUAAAGUACGUCGUAGUCCGGAUUGGAGUCUGCAACUCGACUCCAUGAAGUCGGAAUCGCUAGUAAUCGUAGAUCAGAAUGCUACGGUGAAUACGUUCCCGGGCCUUGUACACACCGCCCGUCACACCAUGGGAGUGGGUUGCAAAAGAAGUAGGUAGCUUAACCUUCGGGAGGGCGCUUACCACUUUGUGAUUCAUGACUGGGGUGAAGUCGUAACAAGGUAACCA